rnacentral:rRNA from 1 species
AGAGUUUGAUCCUGGCUCAGGAUGAACGCUGGCGGCGUGCCUAAUACAUGCAAGUCGAACGAAUCUUCUUCGGAAGAUGAGUGGCGAACGGGUGAGUAAUACGUGGACAACCUGCCUCAAGGCUGGGGAUAACAUUUGGAAACAGAUGCUAAUACCGAAUAAAACUUAGUAUCGCAUGAUACCAGGUUAAAAGGCGCUACGGCGUCACUUAGAGAUGGAUCCGCGGUGCAUUAGUUAGUUGGUGGGGUAAAGGCCUACCAAGACAAUGAUGCAUAGCCGAGUUGAGAGACUGAUCGGCCACAUUGGGACUGAGACACGGCCCAAACUCCUACGGGAGGCUGCAGUAGGGAAUCUUCCACAAUGGGCGAAAGCCUGAUGGAGCAACGCCGCGUGUGUGAUGAAGGCUUUCGGGUCGUAAAGCACUGUUGUAUGGGAAGAAAAGUUAAGGUAGGGAAUGACCUUAGCCUGACGGUACCAUACCAGAAAGGGACGGCUAAAUACGUGCCAGCAGCCGCGGUAAUACGUAUGUCCCGAGCGUUAUCC